rnacentral:rRNA from 1 species
GACGAACGCUGGCGGCGUGCUUAACACAUGCAAGUCGAACGGAAAGGCCCUGCUUUUGUGGGGUGCUCGAGUGGCGAACGGGUGCGUAACACGUGAGUAACCUGCCCUUGACUUUGGGAUAACUUCAGGAAACUGGGGCUAAUACCGGAUAGGAGCUGCUGCUGCAUGGUGGGGGUUGGAAAGUUUCGGCGGUUGGGGAUGGAUUCGCGGCUUAUCAGCUUGUUGGUGGGGUAGUGGCUUACCAAGGCUUUGACGGGUAGCCGGCCUGAGAGGGUGACCGGCCACAUUGGGACUGAGAUACGGACCAGACUGCUACGGGAGGCAGCAGUGGGGAAUAUUGCACAAUGGGCGGAAGCCUGAUGCAGCAACGCCGCGUGCGGGAUGACGGCCUUCGGGUUGUAAACCGCUUUCGCCUGUGACGAAGCGUGAGUGACGGUAAUGGGUAAAGAAGCACCGGCUAACUACGUG